CAGCCCACCUAACCAUCCAUCUCCUGCCUCACGUACAGAGGAGGCAGGGCCAUGGCGUGUCGACCAUCCACCGCCUCCAUGGCUCGAUGGCCGACGUCUGGCGCUACAGGAAGCCUGGGAGAGGAUAAGGGCGAUGCCCCCGACGCCCAAGACAACCCUAGCUCAUUCCUCCCCUUCCCCACGGCCGAUCCCCUCGAUCCCGAGCUCGGUUGUCGCCGCACCUUCGUCGAUCCCGCAACCAUCGACUCCCCAUCGCUGCAUCGCCAUGUCCAUGAGGUUCUUCGUCGUCUGAUUCAUCGUCUCCACCACCGGAUCGACCCCGGGAACCACACGGACGAUGCCCACGUCUUCUUCUUCACCCACGGCCGCCGCGACCAACGCCGUCGAUCUCCACCACCGGCACCUCCCUGCCUCGCCGAGCUCGUCCACGGCCUCCUCAGGAGACAAAUUGGUUGGUGAAGGAGAGGUGCCUGGCAGUGAAACAAAGGGUUCUCCAAAUAGGACCUUUCGGCGGGACUCAAAACGGGGUGCUAAGCAGGAACCAUGUGGCACUGAUAAUGACGGGGAUGGAGAGGAUGAUGACGUGUCCCAGAGAGUAUCUAAAGCAUAUGAAAAAGCACAAGAAUCGUUUUUGGCGCGAAGAGCCGCGGGCCCGCCGCGUCAGCAAGUCUACUCUCUUCUCGCCCCUUCGUCGUCCUCAUCGCCUCGUUUCCCGUGGAGAAUCAAUGCCAAAACUGCCGCGCGCUGCCGCGCCGGUCAGUCUCCAUUGAUGCCUCACGGGUGGCGCAAUAAAGGCUGGGCGACGCGUCCCUCGGCUGCCACGCAAUCACGCCACGCGUAACGCGCCUGCCAAGCCUACCACGCGGCGUCUCCGCCUAUAAAAGCCGACUGCAAGCGCGCCGGAGAGACUCACCCCGAUCAUCCACCGACGACGCGCUCAUUUCUCCCCCUUUCCUCCUCUCGCCGUCACGAGUUGAGAAAGCAUGGCCGAGCGUUUCCCAGGCGAACGGAUUCGGGCGCCGUCAUCUGCACGAGGACGAGGCUCGCCUCCUUUUCGAGGCCGAGUACCCGGUCCCGCCGGACAUGCGGGUGCCCGGGGCGUGGAGGACCAGCGCCGGCGGCGUGCCGGUGCCCCCAGUACCCACCGGCGCGGCGCGGUGUGCGAAGAUCGCACGCAUCCGCUCGUCCCUGCCGCGUGCGGCGAGGGAGGGGCCCCGGUACGUCCCUGUUAGCCCUCUGGGAGCCGUACUUCCGCCGACGGCACGGCGAGCAGCUCGAGGCCACCAACGACGUCGUGCCCUCCGGCAGGUUCAACGCCGCUGGCCGGCAUCGGUGGUGGGGCGUGCCGGGCGCACGUUGGAGUCCGUCCUCGAGUACAUCGAGGGCGGCAACACGCCGCGCCUCGAGUACCCCGCUCCCCCGUCCUUCUCACGCCUCCGGGGAAGCUCCUGGACGCCGAGGCGCAUGGUGACCGGGGUGUCCUCCUCCUCGUCCGGCGGCUCUCCCUGCCUCCACCUCCGCCCCGUCAAGUCGGAGCCCCAGGACACGCCUGUCAGCGCGCGUACCCGCAGCUCCGGCGUCCUCGUCGAGCCCAAGGUGGAGUCCAGCCUCCCCCGGAGUACGAGGAGAUAGCCCGGCGCGGCUUCUCCGACGAGGACGCCAUGCGGUGGUCGCGCGACGACUACCUGCGCGAGGAGAUGAUCCGACAGCGCCGGGCCCUGGAGGAGAUCGCCGCCCGCAAACGUGGGCGCGAGGACGAGGACGGUGUCAUCGUCCUUGAUAGCGACGACGACGACGCCCCCGGACCGUCCAACCCGCCGCGCCAACCGGGGGAGGGAUGCAGCAGGGACGGCGGAGGCGUAGGCGGGGGCGACGACGACGAUGACGACGACGGUGACUACACGCGGUUCUACAGCCUCCUCGGCAUGUAGAACCGCGUGGGCGGGCGGCGAGGCGGGCGGCGAAGGAGACGGCGGGGGUAGCCCGCGGUAGUUUUUUUCUUUUUUUAUAAAAUAUGUUUAAAUUUGAACGAACUCGCCCGUGUUUGCGUUGUGUUUGCACCGAAUUUGAACAUUUUAAAAACCCGUGGGGGCGCGACUGAGGGACAUCACGCCUCCGGUGCGCGGUUUAGCGCCGGUGCGCCUCAGGGGCGAUUUUUUGCCCUUCCUGGAGGGCCAACGGCUGGAGAUGCCUAAGUGCUGGCGCGGGUGUGCUCGUUGGCGGCGUCGCGGGCGCGCAGCUCCCUGAUCUCCUCCUCCCACUUGUCCACCCUCUCCUUGUGGAUCCUGUGACGCACGCAAUACAACAAGUAGUUGGUGAGCACCCGCUCGAGGAGCAAGCAUGACGAUGAUGGGGCUUGCCGCGGCGAGUUUCUUUUCUGACGUGCAGAGGCGGUCCUCGAAGUCGGCGGCGAGGUCCUUGAACAUGGCGCGCCCGGAGUCCAGCAUCUCCGACACCUGCAAUGCCACCGGCAUCACUAGACGAUUAAGGUGGAAUCGGUGGGGGAGGAGGAGAGGGUGAAGAGGCGCACCUUGCGAGUGAAGUUGUCGAUGGCGAGGAGGAUGCGUUGGACGUGCUCCUCCGUCUCCGCCGACCCCACCACCUCAGCCUCUGCCGCCGCCACGACGGCCGUCUCGUCCCCGUCCAUCUCCGUGGCGGCCGCGCGCUGACGGCGACCCCAGAGGACGCCGGCGCUCCCCUGGCUCGCGGUGUCGUCGUUGUCGUUGCUUUGCACAAACGCGUGCAGCAUUCGAUUACUCGCGAACUCGAAAACUUCACGGGAAACUCGAAUUCGACUCCGAAACUCGAUCACCAGCGCGCUCCAAAUGUUUCAGUGGCUUAGGGCCUGUUCGUGAGCUCGCCGAAAAGAGGAGAGUUUUUUUUCCUAAAAUCUAAAAAGUGCACGCGCACCAUUUAGACGGAACGAGCGGCCGGCUCCUGGCCGCUCGAUCCCGCCCUGAAUCGCCGCACGCGUCCAACUUUCGUAGGCUACGAUUUUCCCCGAGUUUCCCAUUCUACCCCUCCGCCGACACGUUCCCCUCUUCCUCGCCCGACGCCACCGACCACUCGCUCCCCACUCGCCCCCGAUCUCUCUCUCUCUCUUGCACGACGCCCCCGCUCGCCUUUCUCUCUCUCUUGCGCGACACCGGCCACCAGUCGCCUCUCUCUCGCGCGCGCGACGCCGCUCUCUCCCCGUUGAUGCGCCCUCUCUCUCCCUCUCGCCGGCAUCUUGCUCCGCACCGCUGCUCACCGCUCCCCACCACCCUGGUUCACACAAAGCUGCCAUUUUUAUUCGCCGGCGAUGCGCUGCUGGGCGAGGAGGAGCUGGAUCCACAUGCGCUGGUCCUCGAUCUGCUUGUGGAUAGGCGUGAGGAGUCGCUGAAGCGGAGCCCGAGCAGCGCCGACGCGGGCGUGAAGACGACGGCGGGAGGAGGUGGAGCCCGAGCGGGAGGAUCUGGAGCCGCAUCUCAAGUAUUGAAGCUACCCCGACGACGCAACGACGCUUGAUGUGGAGCGGCGCCUGAGCCGCGGAGUCGGCGGUCAUAUCCAUGGCGACGGCGACGCCGCCAAAGGUGAUCACGUCGGCCGCCCACUAGUGCAGGAGUUCCGAAGUCGAGGUGAACGACGCCCAUCUUGUAUUGGUUUGAUUCCGAGAAGAUGAAAUGCAGCUUCCCUCCCAGGGCGGCGACGACACCAGCUAUGACUCUCUUGGUCGGGAGAGUGGAAGUGCAAUCGUCGUCGCCCUCUGGGAGAGUGUACCCGCCGACAUCAUACGUGUGCUGCGCCCAUUCCCUGCCGCUUCCUCCAUUGAUUCGGCAGAACCACACGUCAGGGUCGGCGACGUCGAGCAGCACGACGGCGCAGUCAGGAUGCGCCGUGGAGCUGUGGGUGAGGUAGCAGGCGCAGUUGGUGGGGACGUAGUGGUCGUCUCGUAUGGGCGGGAGGGGUAUGGUCUCUCCGGUGACCGGAUGCCACAGCCAGGUCUCCCAUGGGGCGGCCCCGUGGAGGAUGAAGAUCCAGCCCUGCGGGGUGGCGAAGCAUAUCUGGUUGUCCUGCGGGGAUAGCAUGGCGGGUGUCGGCUCCGUGCAUGUUCUCUCUUCCGAUAUGCUAAACAUGAGCAUCUCGGGGGUGUCUUCAUCAUCGUCUCCGGUGGCCGCCGUCGUCUCGUUCCGUGCGGGCUGGUGUUCGAAGACGAGCAGUGGCAAGGAGUUGAGGGCGCCGUGGGGUAGCGCCAUUGCUAGCUGGUCGAUCGUCCUUGAAAUUGAAUUCAGACUCCGGCCGGUACGUGCGCUCUGUCGUCGUCGGUGGACGCGCUCAAUUGUUCUGCCACUGCUCGCUUAUUUCACUCCGUGACUGAUCUACGGACGGUAGACUUUUAUAUAGAAGAAACCUAGGUUUACUGGAGUCCGAGUCGACCAUGUAACCCAAUCUAUUGUACCGAAUCUAAAUUAGACUCCGAGUGUUCGAGUCAGUACGCGAAUAGAAUUUCCCUUUAUUGCCAAA